rnacentral:rRNA from 1 species
UACGUAGGUGGCAAGCGUUGUCCGGAAUUAUUGGGCGUAAAGCGCGCGCAGGCGGUUUCUUAAGUCUGAUGUGAAAUCUCGCGGCUCAACCGUGAGCGGUCAUUGGAAACUGGGAAACUUGAGUGCAGAAGAGAAGAGCGGAAUUCCACGUGUAGCGGUGAAAUGCGUAGAGAUGUGGAGGAACACCAGUGGCGAAGGCGGCCUUCUGGACCAAUACUGACGCUCAUGCACGAAAGCGUGGGGAGCAAACAGG